rnacentral:rRNA from 1 species
AUGCUUGCCAUUAUACUUUCACCACACAUUAAUGCAAUUAUGUGCAAUUCUCAGAGUGCUUUCAUCAAGAAGAGAAGUAUCCACGAAAACUUUAUGUGUGUGAGGAACCAUGCCCGACGGCUCCACAGGAACAAAGCCCUCUCCCUCCUCUUCAAGCUUGAUCUCUGGAAAGCUUUUGACUCGGUGCGUUGGGAGUAAAUAUUUAACAUUCUUCGGAGAAGGGGCUUCCCUAGUAGAUUUCAUGAUUGGAUUGCCACCCUACUUAGCACCUCUUCGCCGAAGAUUCUUCUCAAUGGUGUGCCAACUUAUCCCAUUGCAAAUGGUCGCGGUCUUAGGCAAGGAGAUCCGCUUUCACCGAUGUUGUUCGUCAUAGCCAUCAACCCACUACAACAAAUCCUCGAAUCGGCUACUAGACUUGGCCUCCUCCAUAAAAUCUGGGGACCUUGA